AUACGGAGGAUCCGAGCGUUAUCCGGAUUUAUUGGGCUUAAAGGGAGCGUAGGCGGACGCUUAAGUCAGUUGUGAAAGUUUGCGGCUCAACCGUAAAAUUGUAGUUGAUACUGGGUGUCUUGAGUACAGUAGAGGCAGGCGGAAUUCGUGGUGUAGCGGUGAAAUGCUUAGAUAUCACGAAGAACUCCGAUUGCGAAGGCAGCCUGCUGGACUGUAACUGACGCUGAUGCUCGAAAGUGUGGGUAUCAAACAGGAUUAGAUACCCUGGUAGUCCACACAGUAAACGAUGAAUACUCGUUGUUUGCGAUAUACAGUAAGCGGCCAAGCGAAAGCGUUAAGUAUUCCACCUGGGGAGUACGCCGGCAACGGUGAAACUUAAAGGAAUUGACGGGG
rnacentral:rRNA from 1 species